rnacentral:tRNA from 1 species
UGCUGGAUAGCUUAACUGGCUAAAGCAAUCGGUUCAUACCCGAUAGAGUAUCGGUUCAAGUCCGAUUCCAGCAA